rnacentral:rRNA from 1 species
UACGGAAGGCAGCAGUGGGGAAUAUUGCACAAUGGGCGAAAGCCUGAUGCAGCUAUGCCGCGUGUAUGAAGAAGGCCUUAGGGUUGUAAAGUACUUUCAUCGGGGAGGAAAAACAAAACUAAUAAUUUUAUUUCUUGACGUUACCCGAAAAAGAAGCACCGGCUAACUCCGUGCCAGCAGCCGCGGUAAUACGGAGGGUGCUAGCGUUAAUCAGAAUUACUGGGCGUAAAGAGCACGUAGGUGGUUUUUUUAAGUCAGAUGUGAAAUCCCUGGGCUUAAACCUGGAAACUGCAUUUUGAAACUGAAAUACUAGAGUAUCGUAGAGGGAGGUAGAAUUCUAGGUGUAGCGGUGAAAUGCGUAGAUAUCUGGAGGAAUACCUGUGGCGAAAGCGGCCUCCUAAACGAAUACUGACACUGAGGUGCGAAAGCGUGGGGAGCAAACAGGGAUUAGAUACC